rnacentral:rRNA from 1 species
CCUACGGGAGGCUGCAGUGAGGCAUAUUGGUCAAUGGGAGAGAUCCUGAACCAGCCAAGCCGCGUGAGGGAAGACGGCCCUAUGGGUUGUAAACCUCUUUUGUCGGAGAACAAAACCCGGGACGUGUCCCGGACUGCGUGUAUCCGAAGAAAAAGCAUCGGCUAACUACGUGCCCUCAGCCGCGGUACUACGGAGGAUGCGAGCGUUAUCCGGAUUUAUUGGGUUUAAAGGGUGCGUAGGCGGUCCGUUAAGUCAGCGGUAAAAUGGCGGGGCUAAACCCCGUCGAGCCGUUGAAACUGGCAGACUAGAGUUGGCGAGAGGUACGCGGAAUGCGCGGUGUAGCGGUGAAAUGCAUAGAUAUCGCGCAGAACUCCGAUUGCGAAGGCAGCGUACCGGCGCCAGACUGACGCUGAGGCACGAAAGCGUGGGGAGCGAACAGGAUUAGAUACCCCUGUAGUC